GAUGAACGCUGGCGGCGUGCCUAAUACAUGCAAGUCGAGCAAAUGGAUUAAGAGCUUGCUCUUAUGAAGUUAGCGGCGGACGGGUGAGUAACACGUGAGUAACCUGCCCAUAAGACUGGGAUAACUCCGGGAAACCGGGGCUAAUACCGGCUAACAUUUUGAACCGCAUGGUUCGAAAUUGAAAGGCGGCUUCGGCUGUCACUUAUGGAUUGACCCGCGUCGCAUUAGCUAGUUGGUGAGGUAACGGCUCACCAAGGCAACGAUGCGUAGCCGACCUGAGAGGGUGAUCGGCCACACUGGAACUGAGACACGGCCCAGACUCCUACGGGAGGCAGCAGUAGGGAAUCUUCCGCAAUGGACGAAAGUCUGACGGAGCAACGCCGCGUGAGUGAUGAAGGCUUUCGGGUCGUAAAACUCUGUUGUUAGGGAAGAACAAGUGCUAGUUGAAUAAGCUGGCACCUUGACGGUACCUAACCAGAAAGCCACGGCUAACUACGUGCCAGCCGCCGCGGUAA
rnacentral:rRNA from 1 species